UACGUAGGGAGCAAGCGUUGUCCGGAAUUACUGGGCGUAAAGGGUGCGUAGGCGGCAUAUUAAGUCAGGUGUGAAAUCUUGGGGCUCAACCCCAAACGUGCAUCUGAAACUGAUAAGCUUGAGUACGAGAGAGGAAAGUGGAAUUCCUAGUGUAGCGGUGAAAUGCGUAGAUAUUAGGAGGAACACCAGUGGCGAAGGCGACUUUCUGGCUCGUAACUGACGCUGAGGCACGAAAGCGUGGGGAGCAAACAGG
rnacentral:rRNA from 1 species